UGACGGACAGGAAAGACUCUUGAAGGAAAUCUGUAACAGGAGGGAGCAACUGUACGAUCUGACCUCGGAGGCGGAAACAAUGUACAACAUUCCAGGCAGGGCAGGCCAAGAAGUUGCUCGGCUGCGCCAGGAGCUUGCGGCUCAAAUUGAGCCUAGACCUGACAGGAUGUGGCGCAUACUACUAGUAAAAAGUAUACUUGAGCGUUGGGGGAGACUUGCGGCGUUUAUAUUUUCCUUAGAUGUGCUGAUGGGCAUGGCCCUUGGCUCGAUUGUUAACUUGGGGCCAGAAGAACGGCAAUGGAUCAAGAAGAAACGGAAGGAGGAGGCAAGCAAGGUGAGGAGACAAUAUGGUUACGAGUGCUGACACUUGAAUAAAAGGUUGCUAGAUGGUUACGAGUGCUAACACUUGAAUAAAAGGUUGCUAGAUGGACGAUGAGUGAUCGCUUUGUAAGCGUGGGAGAUGGUUACUAAGACCGAACUGGUUUCCACUAUCAUGAUCUUGUUAUUUGGUGUUUCCCUGUUUUGUUUGUUCAAGAUUUUGAAUUAGCCAUUGCCCAUGUAUGCAUUUACCACUCCUUAUUUCUG